rnacentral:lncRNA from 1 species
CUCCGGUGACCCCACCGGCGAGCAAUCACGGCGAGAACAAGAUGAGUGUCCGCGGCUCCAAUCGAAAAAAACAGGGAGAAAGAGAGGGGUAGAGGGCCGAUGUUCGGUUUCUAAGGAAAGGGGAGGUCUUUUUAUAGAGGGCCCUAGGACUUCGAGAGGUCCUAGGACUCCCGAUUCACCCAGGUCUCGCCGGAGAAGAAGACUCCUAUCGGGAGUCUUCUUCCCGAUUUUAUUUUUCCUGUUUUUUUUUGGGCUUGGGUCUUGCUAGAUG